UACACUCCUACGGGAGGCAGCAGUGGGGAAUAUUGGACAAUGGGCGCAAGCCUGAUCCAGCCAUGCCGCGUGAGUGAUGAAGGCCCUAGGGUUGUAAAGCUCUUUCACCGGUGAAGAUAAUGACGGUAACCGGAGAAGAAGCCCCGGCUAACUUCGUGCCAGCAGCCGCGGUAAUACGAAGGGGGCUAGCGUUGUUCGGAUUUACUGGGCGUAAAGCGCACGUAGGCGGACUAUUAAGUCAGGGGUGAAAUCCCGGGGCUCAACCCCGGAACUGCCUUUGAUACUGGUAGUCUUGAGUUCGAGAGAGGUGAGUGGAAUUCCGAGUGUAGAGGUGAAAUUCGUAGAUAUUCGGAGGAACACCAGUGGCGAAGGCGGCUCACUGGCUCGAUACUGACGCUGAGGUGCGAAAGCGUGGAGAGCAAACAGGAUUAGAAACCCGAGUAGUCCC
rnacentral:rRNA from 1 species